CUGCUAAGGAUGUGGCUGUUUCUCCCUGUCUGGUGGGGAGAGGCCAAGCACAUUAAUGCCAAUGCCCACAGCCUGUGGGUGCUUCCUGUCUUUUGUAAAUUGCAUUACUCACGAUUCUCUUUCCCUCGAUUUAUUAGAGGAAAGUCUCAGAAGGGUAAGGCCAACUGCUCCAGCUAUUUGCAGCUGUAAAUGACCCUCACAGGGACACAGCACUGUCCCACUCCCAGCCCAGUGGCCUGCAGCUAGCUGGAGCUGGUUACACUCUCACCUGGCUAGGUUGGGGGAAAGUGGGAGUUUUGCAGACCCACACUGCCACCCUGUCCAGCAGCCCCGGUCAUCUUUAAGAAACGCACCUCUUCUCUGAAACUCAAACAAUAAAACUUUCUGAAGACCUUUCAGCUUGCUUUGGCGACAAUGAACUCUCUUCUCUCCUGCAGGCGUGCCGGUAGCUUGGCCAGGGAGAAUGGACCGGCAACCUCUUUCUGCCCACUCCUCUGAUCCCCCUCUGCCUCCCUUAGACAAUCUGUCCUUCCCUGGAGAGGGCCGGUGUGCAGGGUUAAAGGUUCUCUGGUUAAAAUAGCCCAACAGAAGGAGCCGGGUCCGGAGCUGAAAUCUAAGUGCUAAUGACCGCUGCCCUUCACCCCGCUGCUCUCCGAGGCUGGACCCGAGGCCCAGUGAGGGACGAGACUGGACGGGGCACAAUGUUGCGCAUUUAACAUUUGAACUUCUCCCACCCGAGGCAGCAGGCCGUUUUGUCCUGGGGUCGCUGACCCCGGCUCCCCAUCAGCUGCCCUGAAACCUUAAUUGAAUGACAGAUGGUCAUUUUCAGGAGAGCCAGAAGCUGCGGGCGGCGGGCGGCAUGGCCAGGCUCGGCCAGGCGGUCCCCACUGGAGUGGGGUCGGGGCACGGGGUCGGGGCUGCGCGCUCCCGGGGGAGCGGAGUCCUGGUCCCCUAGCUGCCUCGGGGUCCAGAGCUCCAGGCAGCCUGGAGGUGGCCCCGCCUGCCCUAGAAGGAGGCGCAGGGGCCCCCAUCGCUCCUUUUCUGGGCCGGAGUCCAGCCUCCCCGGCCCUAGGCCCGGAUGCCAGCCCCGGGGCCCGGUGCGCUUGGCACGCCCGGCCUGCGGCCGCUGCUGCGCGGGGCCUGCGGCCCAGAGGUGGGCGCCCAGAGGCCCAGCCGCACUGCCUCCGCGCCGGCUCCUAUUUCUUUAAAAUCAAAGCUUCGGGCCUACAAUUGCUGGGAUUGCAGCGCGGUAUUGAUCCGCAGCCGGCAUCAGGGCCCGCGGCCUCGCUGCCCAGCCCCCGCGGCCGGCCUGCGAAGCCCAGAGGCUGGGUUUCGGCACCGUGCACGCCGCCGCUGGUACCCGGCCACCCCUCCGGCCAGCGCGCGUGGGCUCCAGGCCCAGCCGACUAGGCCCCAUCUUCACUGGUUUUUUUCCUUCCUUCUUUUUUAAUUAGUGCAGGAAAAUAUACAUGGAAGCAAAAAAAAAAAAUCCGCCUCCCCCGCAGGCGCGGCCUUCUAAUGCACAGGGCCUGACAUCGACUUCCGCGCACGGAUCGAACCUUCGAUCGCGCCGAUUUGCAUAGCGGGCCCGCGCCCCGCCGCGCCCGACUCCACGCCGAGACCGCGCAGGCGAGGCCGGGCGCUCCCGGGCUCUGCCUUCCUCCCUCGGUGCCCGGGGGACCGGGCUGCUCACGGCCGCAGACGUGUGCGCGGGCGAGCGCGGAACGCGGCGGGAGACGAUCUCCGCCGGCACCGCGAAAGGAGCCGAGGGCGCCCAGGGCCCCGCCGCGGACCGCGCGGAGGACAGGUACCACCUGCGCGGCGCCGCGGCCCGCUCCCCGCGGGCAGGGGUGGGCACCGCAGGGCGAGGACCCGGGCUGCGAACCGCGCUCCCGCUCCCGGCUCCUGCGCGAAACGGAGCACACUGACCCCGCUUCCCUCCCUCCUGGAGGCGCAUCCUGGACGCGACGCGCCCUCGGGUGAAGAGAACGCACUCUCCUACCCUCAAAGAGGCGUCCAGGCGUACUUCCCUGAGUGUUCGUGGCUGAUACUGGUUCCGAACCUGUCUGGCCCUGAGCCUUUUCGUUUCUCCUGUUUUAUGCAGAUCACUCGAGCUAGAGCUGAGGCUGGGAACCUUCCACAAGGCUGUGACGGCACACAGAGUCCUCUGCUCCAGGAAGUGCAGAGGUGCGUUCCUUACGGGGGCCCACUGGACUCGUGUAGAAAUCUGCUUUUUGUUCUGCGGGCCAGCAAAAGCGAUGGUGUUCCUGGAAUGCAAGCACCGCCCGCCAUGCUUGGAGCAUCCUGCCGCAGAGAGAACACUUUCUCCUGGUCUCAGCCCAGACUGACAGCCUGGGGGCCUCGUAGGACACUCGGCCAGAUGACACACACACAAGGGCACCCAGAACCUGUGUCGUGGGCUCCCGGGCAGCUGUGGAUCCAGGAGGCAGGCUGAGCAAGCCAGCAACACUCGCUGCCACUUGUCCAGAAAGCAAGAAAGCGGCAAUAUCCUCAGUGUUAUUUAAGGGAAAAAGACUGGGACCUGCACUGGAGUUUAAAAGUUAGGGGCGGGCUGCUCCCCAGCAUUUCUUUGGAAGGAGGCAGAACUGAGAGCUAUGCAGCUGGCUUGGCGCUUCAGCCCAUAGGAGAGGAGGAAAUUCUCCUCCUCCUCGCUGCACCUUGGAGCAGGUCCUCUGGCAGAGCUCUCGGCUCCCCAGCACCCCGUCAGCCUCCUGCCUCUCCUGCCAGGCCAAUGGAACCAGCAGAACUCGAUAGUAAAUUAUUUUGUUCAGCCCUCUGUCUUUUUAUGAAAAUAAAAGCCAACACUUUGUCAUUUUUAAUCACGUAAGCAGACAAUAAAUCCAAUUUCGAUAUUGAUUUUUUUUUCCAGAAUCAAGUGAUUUUUUGCAGUGUCUGUUGUGUUUCCUUUUGCGAAAAAGAGCCGCUGGCCUCAGAGCGGUG
ensembl:lncRNA